UACGAAGGGGGCUAGCGUUGCUCGGAAUCACUGGGCGUAAAGCGCACGUAGGCGGAUUGCUAAGUCAGGGGUGAAAUCCUGGAGCUCAACUCCAGAACUGCCUUUGAUACUGGCGACCUUGAGUCCGGGAGAGGUGAGUGGAACUGCGAGUGUAGAGGUGAAAUUCGUAGAUAUUCGCAAGAACACCAGUGGCGAAGGCGGCUCACUGGCCCGCAUACUGACGCUGAGGCACGAAAAGCGUGGGGAGCCAACAGGGAUUAAGAAACCUUCG
rnacentral:rRNA from 1 species